rnacentral:lncRNA from 1 species
AUUAAGUGAUAUAUGAUACUAUUAACCAGUUUUUCUACCAUGUCCAGGUUACCUGUACCUGGCCAUAGGUUCGCCCCUCACGGUAACCUGUUGGACUUCCUGAGGAAGGCAGAGUGUUGGAGACUGACCCGGCCUUCGCUAUCCAACAGCACCGCCUCCACCCUCACCUCACAACCGCUGCUGCACUUUGCUGCCGACGUGGCCCGGGGCAUGGACUACCUGGCUCACGAAACAGGUCAGUACUGAAGAUGUGGACCAAGGCAUGGACUACCUGGCUCAGAAACAGGUCAGUACUGAAGAUGUGGACCGAGGUUAUGACCAAACGGUCUGUGACCAGGCUAGGUACAGCCCAAACUAAUCUGGGACCAGGCUAGGUACAGC